rnacentral:rRNA from 1 species
UACGUAGGGGGCAAGCGUUGUCCGGAAUCAUUGGGCGUAAAGAGCGUGUAGGCGGCCUGAUAAGUCGGCUGUGAAAGUCAAGGGCUCAACCCUUGAAUGCCGGCCGAUACUGUCAGGCUAGAGUCCGGAAGAGGCGAGUGGAAUUCCUGGUGUAGCGGUGAAAUGCGCAGAUAUCGGGAGGAACACCAGUGGCGAAGGCGGGUCUCUGGGCCGUAACUGACGCUGAGGAGCGAAAGCGUGGGGAGCGAACAGG